rnacentral:misc_RNA from 1 species
GAAUCAAAGCAGUCCUCAAGUUGCAGGUUAGAAUGCUUUAGUUGAACUUGUAGUCUGGAGUCACAUGAGUCGAAACACUACCUCAAGUCACCAACUGGACCAGAACUAUGUUUGCUACUUGUGGUGCUCAUCGAUUCUCCAAAAAGCUUCAGCCUUUUCAGGGGUUUCCUCUCAAGAGCUGUUGUUGGUUUAGCAGAACUAUAAUUAACCAUGUACGUUCCUUUACGCAAUCCAAACAAAGGAGACCUGUACAACGA